rnacentral:sRNA from 1 species
AGCUGGCGCUGCAGGCAACGGUGCAGCGACGAUCGUGUCAGAUGUGGAAUUGUCGGCUGCAGCGCAUAGAGGCAGUCAUCGAGUGGAAGCUGCCUCUGUCGUCGU